UACGUAGGGUGCGAGCGUUAAUCGGAAUUACUGGGCGUAAAGCGUGCGCAGGCGGUGAUGUAAGACAGGUGUGAAAUCCCCGGGCUUAACCUGGGAACUGCAUUUGUGACUGCAUCGCUGGAGUGCGGCAGAGGGGGAUGGAAUUCCGCGUGUAGCAGUGAAAUGCGUAGAUAUGCGGAGGAACACCGAUGGCGAAGGCAGCCCCCUGGGCCGACACUGACGCUCAUGCACGAAAGCGUGGGGAGCAAACGGG
rnacentral:rRNA from 1 species